rnacentral:rRNA from 1 species
GUGAGGAAUAUUGCGCAAUGGAGGCAACUCUGACGCAGCCAUGCCGCGUGCAGGAAGAAGGCGCUACGCGUUGUAAACUGCUUUUAACCGGGAAGAAACCCCAGGACGUGUCCUGGGUUGACGGUACCGGAGGAAUAAGCACCGGCUAACUUCGUGCCAGCAGCCGCGGUAAUACGAAGGGUGCAAGCGUUAUCCGGAUUCAUUGGGUUUAAAGGGUGCGUAGGCGGAGCGUUAAGUCAGUGGUGAAAUCCUGCAGCUUAACUGUAGACUUGCCAUUGAUACUGGCGCUCUUGAGUGCGCUUGAAGUGGGCGGAAUGUGCCGUGUAGCGGUGAAAUGCUUAGAUAUGGCACAGAACACCAAUUGCGAAGGCAGCACACUAAGGCGAUACUGACGCUGAGGCACGAAAGCGUGGGGAUCGAACAGGAUUAGAUACCCGUGUAGUCC